rnacentral:rRNA from 1 species
UACAGAGGCCUCGAGCGUUAGGCGGAAUCACUGGGCUUAAAGCGUGUGUAGGUGGAUGCCUAAGUACCUUGUGAAAUCCCACAGCUUAACUGUGGAAUUGCUUGGUAUACUGGGUGUCUUGAGCCACUCAGGGGCUACUGGAACAAACGGUGGAGCGGUGAAAUGCGUAGAUAUCGUUUGGAACGCCAAUGGUGAAAACAAGUAGCUGGGGGUGUGCUGACACUGAGACACGAAAGCCAGGGGAGCAAACGGG